GUGGGUAACCUGCCUUAUAGUGGGGGAUAGCCUUUCGAAAGGAAGAUUAAUACCGCAUAAGAUUGUAGUAUCGCAUGAUAUAGCAAUUAAAGGAGCAAUUCGCUAUAAGAUGGACCCGCGUCGCAUUAGCUAGUUGGUGAGGUAAUGGCUCACCAAGGCGACGAUGCGUAGCCGACCUGAGAGGGUGAUCGGCCACAUUGGGACUGAGACACGGUCCAGACUCCUACGGGAGGCAGCAUG
rnacentral:rRNA from 1 species